UUGGGAUGAACUAUUUAAUCCUUCAUCUAUAUUACCCCCGGGGCUCGGACAUGAUCUUACCGAAAGCUCACUGCUGCAGUUGGAUGAACUGGCUUUGGAGUCUCGAGCUGCGGGUGUGCCACAGGUGCAGCUAAUAAGGUUAAUAACAUGCACACUGAUUAGUGAUUAGCUGCUUAAAAGGCAUCAACGACGACGAGGUUGUUCAACUGGAUUAUGGAAACCAGGAGGAAGUCUUUUCUUGAACUUUGAAAAGUAUGAAAAUCAGCUUCUAGAAGGUCAGCUGUACGGUCAGCCACUCCGGAGGAGCGCUUGGUGUAAAAGCGAUACAGCAUAGAGUUCCUGUUGAUGAUGCAUCAUUCAAUGUUUUGUCCUCGUAAUGAACAGCAGGUGAUGUCAGAGUGUCCCUUUGUCAAACGACUCCCUGCGAUGCAAUGAAGGAACUGCAAGGAGCCCAUCAGGGUGCACUUAGAAACCUCCUCACACUUCCAAGAUGGACGUCUGCAAGUCAAAUGUUUGUCAUGAGCAACAUCUAACUACAUGCAUGAACUGAUGUGCUGUUUGAUUGUGUCAAAGAACUUAAUAGUAAAAGCUCUGUCAGCUGUAA